rnacentral:lncRNA from 1 species
AUGCUUCAGUCUGAAACCUCUGUACUCAAGUGGAAAGUCCUACAGUUACAGGUAUUUUUUUUUUUCUUUUUCUGUUUUUCUUUUUCAACAAAGAAAAUUGGAGCGGAUCUGGGCUGUUCAGAUUUUGGUUUGCAUUCUGCUCUCAUUCCUACUCCCACAGCUGGCUUGGGCAGCGCAGCCCCACAGUGCAGUGCCAUUCCCAGUGCUGGAGGUGUGGGCACAGCAGUGGUCCCACCGCCCACACCAGGGCUGAGCUGGGAGCUGGAACCCUGCCUGGAGCAGCUCUCUCCUUCUGCACCACCUGCUGCCCCAGUGCUGCUGUCUUCCCUGACACAGAUCACAAAGAGAGAGCGUAAAAGCAGCCUUACCUCUUCAGGCAGUGACCCAGCUGGCUCAGCGCUGCAGGCAGGAGGAAGUGCGCCGGCUGCAGCACCGCACCAGCCUUGUUUACACCAGCGUGGCAACCUGCGUGACAUCACGGCCUGCCCAAAGGAGUGCAACCAGGAAGCGAAAAGCAGAUGUGGACGUUGA